ACUGCUACAAAAAAUAUGGAAAGAGCAGGAAGUCAUUUUAUCUUUCCCAAGUGGCAAACACUGUAAGGUGGCUCUCAACAACCAAUUCUACAGAUCUGACAAAUCGGCUCAGAAUCAGUGAUGACUCGCCUUCAGAGAAUAUGCCACCUAAACAAGAACCUUCAGGCUCAGCUCCAUCUUCAGUCGACCAGGUAAUAAUGGAGGCCAUAAAUGAAGAAGGUCCUAGUGUCAUCAGUUCUACUUGUGUUUCCUCGGUGCAAAGUUCUACUACUACUGCUGCAAGUCUGCCAGCAAUUCCUUCCUUCUCUGAGUUUAUGAAAAGCAGGAAGGCAAAGGAUAGAGCAGUUGAUAAAUUGCCGGAGACAGCUGAGAAGAAUACAGAGAAAAGAAUGAGGUUGCAGUAGGAUCUCUGUUCUUGAAUUUUGCUCAUAUCAAUUGCCUCCUUGAGCUUAGAAGCAUUUGCUAUCAACUAUAUGGCAAUUCUGUUUAUUGAAUUAUACGUACGGUUUGAUUGCCAAAACUGUCAUUAUGUGAGGAAACCUCAUUUUGUCCGCGGUUCCAUUCGAGUUUCAUAGUUGUGCCUUAGGUCUCUUGGUUUUUUCUAAAAAUAGUUUGCUAAAUGCUUAACCAUCAGAGAAAUACAGUCUAUUCUACAAUUUCUUGAAUCUGCCUCCUGGAAGCAUCGAAGUUCUAUAAUUCAGAACCGUGAAGCAAAUGAUGCCAUGAUACAUGUAAGCUCAGCUGCCUCCCAUGUGAAAUACUCGCCUCUACCGAGAUUGGCGAACUGGUAUUGCAUGAGAUGCCAAUUGAAGUGAACGUUACAUUAGGUAAGAUCAUCAGAUGAGGGGCAAUUUUCCAAUGAAGUUGGCGUUGAGACUUCCCAGGUAAAGAUGUCCCUCAAACUCGAAUGCUGAGGUAACAAAGGAGUUGACUUUCCCGUCAGGAUCGUCAAGCUUCUUGAUUAUUUUGCCAUCAGCUCCCACAUGCAAAACGCUUGCUUUUCUGUACGCUCCAUUCACUUUCUUGAUCAUACUUGGGUACGUUGCUAUCAAGUGCUUGGCUGCCUUGGAGGUGUGCACGAAUUCCCACCCUUCAGAUGUCACCUGCACCAAAUUUGCAAUGAGCAGUGACAGAGCGUACGAAAACACAAGGUCCGAAAGAAGCUGAACCCCUCGCAGUGGCAUGCACGUAGUUCUGCCCAAAAUCAGGGGCAUUAUUAUCUCCUUGAGAGCACUAAUCUCUCUGGGUUUAGAUCUUUAGUUAUCCUUUUGAGAAAAGCUUGCGGAUAUACCUGCAAUAGGGCAAUCCAAAAAGAUCCGUCGGGGGCAAGAUUGAUGUUGUCAGGUCCGCCCGGAAGAUUGUCAAUGAAAAUCUCUGUUUUCCCUGCCUCUUCUCCCUUCAGCCAAUGCCUUAAACACCUAAAUCUACGAAACACACACAUGCCCGUAAGCAGAGUUGCACCACAUUUUUUUCCUGUCUUUCCGCUAAACUACCCUAAGAUGCUUUAAUUUUUCAAGAGAAAUUCCAAUGUAUGAGCUCUAUAAAUUGUGAAUUGAGGGAUAUACUCACUUCCAAGUCUCACAGACAAUGAGAAAAUCUUCAUCCCUAGAGAGAGCAACACCAUUGGCGAAGCACAAGUCAUCAAGAACAAUCGAAGUUUGUGACGAUGAAGGGUUGAAUUUGAGAAGCUGGCCAUGAGGUUUCGCCUCGAGGACAUCCAAGUACCAAUUGUGGAGGGAGAACUUGGUGCUGGCUACGCUGAAAUAUAGACUCCCGUCUAAUGCUUCAAUGACGUCGUCUGCGAAUCUAUAUGUGGCAAUCAUAGUAAAAAACAUUAAGUUUUGACGGUUUUUGUGAUAAAUUUGCUCCUUGUGCUUAUGUCAAUUCGUGUGCAAGUCCACCAUAAUCCUCCAACCUUGGCCUAUUUCCGGCCAGACUUGAUGGUAUUCGGUGUCAUGCUCGAUCCACCAAGAUGAAUAUAAUAGCAUUUGAUCUACCAAGGUUGUCUAAACCUAUCAAUCAUUAUGGCAAUUAAUUUUUUACCCAAAAUGUGGUCUGAGUUUGGUCCCGGAUCAGGUCUAAUUGCUAGUGUUUCGUGAAUUUGCUCCAUCUAGCAUAUUAUGCAGUAUAUAUAUAGAGAUAGCAACAUCAAAUGUACGUAAUAUUGUAGGAAUUAGUCUACUAAAUAAUCUGACAAACUCUAAUUUAGCAUAUAAGAGAGUUACUUAUGACCUAUUAAACCUUCUUGGUAUCUUCAACAUUGUUGUUGGAGGAAUAUGAGGACAAGACAAUCUAUUCUCACGUAUCCCCAACAAUAUGUCCUUUUCUUUUCUUUUUCUCAUUUGAUAACAACGUAAUGCUAUCCUAAUUGCGAACUCAGCCAUUUGUCUUUUCCAUGACAAGACAACUCAUUUUAACAAGUAAAUCCCAUGAAAUUUUGUCAUAAGAAUACCCGCUAAUCUUACAUAUAAAUUUAAUUAGAGCUCAACUCUUUUUUGUCCUUAUAAACUUUCCAAAUUCUUAUAAUCGAAAGCACUCGAAUGUCUAAAUUAAUUAUGAGUUCAAGUUGGAGGAGUUCAUCAGAUAAGGAUGUGCAGCCUUGUACGUCCCUUCACAGACUGUGGUCCCUUGUCCACUUCCCUUUGUGAGGAGGAGGUCGAGAAAAUCUCAGAGCCACGCAAAUCGAUAGACAAAAGAACAGCUUCUCUGUUGUUGUCCGGUUACUUACAAACAAACACCCAUCAUACGUCGUUGUCAAUGACAAAGUGAGGAAGAAGUGAGGAAGAAAAUGGGGAGAUUCCUAAAGCUCAGCCACACAUAGCACAUAUACUAAUGAAAAGCUGCCGCCUUUCUUCCGCAAAUGCUUCCGCAUGGCUUGGUUUCGAGUUUUGUUAUAAUAUUUAAAGGAUAAACUACGUAUUCAUCUAAUAAUUUAAAUUUUUAAAAUGAUUGAUUGUAGUUCUAUAAAAUCUCAAAUUCAAAUUUUAUCAGGCUUCAUUUGCUUCAUUAAUUAAAUUUUCAUUCUUAAUACUAGACAAAAUACCAGAUUAAGUGUGAGAGGAAAUGUUAUAAUAUACAUAUGAUAAAUUACUCAAUCUAACAGUUUAAGUUUUUAAAAUAGUUUACUAAAGUGAAAGUGUUAUAAUAUUUGAAUGAUAAAUCACGCAUUCAUUUAAUAAUUUAAGCUUUUAAAACAGUUGCUUAUAAUCUCAUAAAAUCUCAUAAAUUGUCAUGUUUAGUACUUUGCUCCAAGAGCACAACAGUUGCUUAUAAUCCCAUAAAAUCUCAUAAGUUGUCAUGUUUAGUACUUUGCUUAUUGUGUGCUCUUGGGGCCACCCAAGAGAAUAGAUGUGCGUGUUUUCAGGAAUUACUGGUGCGAGUGGAAAGAGUGUCCGAGGAAUAGGUUGAAAUUAAAAAGAACUAAUGUUGAUCACAAUGAUUAAGAACAUUACCUUAAUUCAGAUCCAUUAACAUGCGAUAAGAGGACCUUCGGAUGACCAUCUUCAUCCACCCAGAUCAAGCCCUAGCCAAAUCACAAUCAUCGAGAACUUACCCAUAAACGCUUCACAAUUCAUUUCAUAAACCAAGAUCAUCAUCUCUUUAUCAUAUCAUGCAUACCUUUUCAGCAUCACACACGAUGAUACCACCUCUCCUGGUCGCUGUAAUCCCCAGAAGGGUCUGACUGUUCAACAUGGUCCAAUUUUCCCAGGACCCGUCUCGGUGCAACCUCUUGAUCCAACCAUCUCUAGUCGCAGUGUGGAGCACGCCAUUUUCGUCUACCAAUACGUCCUCUGGGUCUUUCACUACACCCUCUCCAACUUUACCCACACCCUGCAUGAACCAGAAAGCUUUUCACAUGAAUGAAGAACCGAGAAAUGAAAGACAUGAUAGUUGGAACCUUCUGUAUGACGAAGCUUUUCAAUUACCUGCAGGUGGGUGUUUGUGGGAAGAGAAGCUAAAGACGAUGGUUGCGGUAAAUGGAGCAAGUCGGGAGAUAUCGGCGAAAAGAUGAAGAUUUGCAGCACUAUGGCGAGGACACAAGCCAAGACGAAGCCCGAGAAUGGUGGCAAAAAGCGGCUCAAGAAGCCGAAUAGAGCCAUUGCGAUAGAGGGAAAGAGUGACAAGGAUGAAAUCUAGAAGAAGAAAUGUUUUUGACGGGAAUACAAGUCCACUUAUUGUGAGAGAACCGUAAUAGAAGACGGGUCUGAGUUUUCGGCGGAGAUGAAGAAAAUUGUUCAAUUAUUACUCGAAUUUGAAUCGUAUACGAAACUUGAUCCGGUUGAACGAUGUAGAUAGGUUAGGACAUAAAUCCAAAAGUUUUAAUUGGAUUAGAAUUCCUUUUGGAGGCAUGGGGAUUUGUUUCUAUUUGAAGUGGAAAAGAAUAAUAUCUAGAUUUGUUUCAUCUUUGGCCCCUAUGCCACCGUUGAUGAGGUUGGCCUUGCCUAGCCAUGGCAAGGCCAAGCUAGCCAUGGUUGGGAAAGGCCUCGCCAGAUUUGGCGAGGCUUGACUGCACCUCACUAGUGGCUUGUGAGGGGGAGCCUCAUCAUUGACUAGUAAGCCUCACCAACUCUUGCCUCUAACUGGCCCCAAUGGCGAUCAAUUAAAGAAAGGAGGAUAAAAAGAAAAAGAGAUAAAUAAUAUUAAAAAUUGUUCAUGUCAUCAUUGGUCGGAUGGUCAGCGUUCACGUCAUUGCUGGCUAGCUAAAUUGGCUGAUUGGACUAAAUUGAUACGAAUGUAUAAUUUAUAACUAAAUUGGUAUAAUUACAAUAGAUUUGAAACUUUUCUAAUAAUUUUCCCUAAUUUUGUCUAUGGUUCUGUUUUCAAUUUCAUAGUGGCACCUGUCUUUCAUACUUUUCAAAUGAUAGUUUGCUUAAAGCUUGACCAUCGGGUAAAUUCAGUCUACUCAACAAUUUCUUGAAAUUGUUAUGGAAUCUGCCUCUUGAAAUCAUCGAAGUUUCACAGUUCAAAACCAGCGAAGCAAAUGAUGCGAUAAUACAUGUAAAAGCUCAACUACCUCCCCAUGUGAACUACUCCCGUCUACCGAUAUCAGCGUAAAACAAUUAGAGUGAACGUUACAUUAGGCAUAUUCAUCAGAUGAGGGGCAAUUUUCCAAUGAAGUUGGAGUUGAGACUUGAUGACCCUCAAAACUCAAAUGCUGAGGUAACAAAGGAGAUGACUUUUGCGUCAGGAUCGUCGAGCUUCUUGAUUAUUUUGCCAUCAGCUCCCACAUGCAAAACACUUGCUUUUCUGUGCACUCCACUCGCUUUCUUGAUCAAACUAGGGUAUGUUGCUAUCAAGUGCUUGGCUGCCUUGGAGGCGUGCACGAACUCCCGCCCUUCACAUAUCAACUGCAUCAAUUUGCAAAAGAGCAGUGAUGGAGCUUCCGCAAAACAUGGUCCGAAAGAAGUCGAAACCUUCGCGAUGGCAUGUAUGCAAUUUUUGCCCAAAAUCAGGGGCACUAUUGUCUCCCUAAGAGCACCGAUCACUUUGGGUUUAGAUUUUCAGUUGUUAUCUCGCGAAAAUCUUGCAAAUGUACCUGCCGUAGGGCAAUCCAGAAAGAUUCUUCGGGGGCAAGAUUGAAGUUGCCGGGUCCAUCCGGAAGAUUGUCGAUGAAAAUCUCUAUUUUUCUUGCCUCAUCUCCCUUUAGCUGAUGCUUCAAACACCUAAAUUUGCGAAACAGACACAUGCACAUAAGCAGAAUUGCACCACAUUUUUUCCUGUCUUUCUGCUAAACUGUGCUAAGAUGCUUUGUUUUCAAGAGAAAUUCCAAUGUAUGAGCUCUAUAAAUUGCGCAUCGGGGGAUAUACUCACCUCCAAGUUUCAUAGAUAAUGAGAAAAUCUCCGUCCCUGGAAAGAGCAACACCAUUUGGCGAAAAAUAAAUCGUCAAGAGCAAUCAAAAUUUGUGAUGAUGAAGGGUCGAAUUUGAGAAGCUGGCCACGGGGUUCCGCCUCAGGGAGGUCCAAGUACCAAUUGUGGAGGUCGAAAUUGGUGCUGGCUAUGCUAAAAUAUAAACUCCCAUGUGAUGCUUCAAUGACAUCAUCCAUGAAUCUAUAUGUAGCAAUAAUAGUAAAUACAUUAAUUUUGUGUGGUUUUGUGAAAAACUCGCUCCUUAUGCUUAUGUCAAUUUGUGUGCUUUGAGAUAAACAUGCUGCCCUUAGGUAGACAUUCUCGUGGGCUCAAGUCCACCGUGAGCCUCCAACCUUAGCCUAUUUCUGGCCAAACUUGAUGGUAUCCGGUACCAUGAAUGUAAGAUCUACCAAGGUUUUCUAAACCUAUCAAUUACUAGGGCAAAUAAUUUUUUUUACCUGAGGUGCGAUUUGUGUUUGGUCGAUCAAGUCUAAUUGCUAGUUUUUCAUGAUUCCGCACCAUCUACAUAUUAUGCAGGAUUUAUAGAUAUAGCAACAUCACGUAUACGUAAUAUUCUGGGAAUUAGUCUACUAAAGAAUCUGACAAACUCUAAUUUAGCAUAUAAUUUACUUAUGAGCUACUAAACUUUCUUGGUAUCUUCAACAUUAUUGUUGUAGUAAUAUGAGGACAAAACAAUCUAUUCUCACAAAUCCCCGGCAUUCCUUUUUUUUUUUUUUUUAAUUUGAGAACAAUAAAAUGCCGUCCUAAUAGCGAACUCAACCAUUUUUGUCUUUUCCAUGACAUGAUAACUCAUUUUAACAAGUAAAAUCCCAUGAAUUUUUUCCUUUGUAGGAAUACGAAGACAAUCUAUUCUCACAAAUCCCUGACACUCUUUCUUUCUCUUCUUUUUUAUUUUUCUUAAUUUGAGAACAAUGUAAUGCCGUCCUAAUUGCAAACUCAGCCAUUUGUAUCUUUUCCAUGACAUAAUUACUCAUUUUAGUGAGUAAAAUCCCAUGAAUUUUUUCCUUUAUAGGAAUACAAGGACAAGACAAUCUAUUCUCACAAAUCCCCGACACUCUUUUCUUCCUUUUCUUUUUUCUUUUUUCUUAAUUUGAGAACAAUGUAAUGCUGUCCUAAGUGCAAACUCAGCCAUUUUUGUCUUUUCCAUGACAUGAUAACUCAUUUUAAUAAGUAAAAUCCCAUGAUUUUUUUUUCCUUUGUAGGAAUAGGAGGACAAGACAAUCUAUUCUCACAAAUUCCCAACACUCUUUUCUUUCCUUUUUUUUUUUAGAACAAUGUAAUGCCGUCCUAAUUGCAAAAUCAGCCAUUUUUGUCUUUUCCAUGACAGGAUAACUCAUUUUAACAAGUAAAAUCCCAUGAUUUUUUUUCCUAAGAAUACCUGCUAAUAUUAUAUAUUAUAUAACAUGUUAGCCAAAAUUUAAAUAGAGCUCAACUCUUUUUUGUCCUUAUUAACUUUCCAAAUUCUUAUAAUCGAAAGUACUCGAAUGUCUUGAAUAAUUAUAAGUCCAAGUAAAAGGAGUUCAUUAGAUAAUGAUGCACAGCCUCGUGCAUUCCUUCACGCAUCUGGUCCCUUGUUCCCUUCUCUUUGUAAGGAUGAGGUCGAGAAAAAUCUCAGAACCAUGCAAAUCGAUUGAGAAAAGAACAACAAACAUGACUGCAACAUCUUUGUUGUUAUCUGGAUACUUACAAAUGUUGUGACCUACCCAUUCGGGCCUUUAAUCCCUAGAAAUAGAUUUAGAGAUUCUUAUUCAAGUGCUAGUCCCCAAGGCACAUCACAGAAAGAAGGCUCAAAAGCAUCAUCUUUAAUGUUCGUCCAAGAGGUCCAUCAAUUGAGAACGUGGGUUCUCUCAAAUCCGUACCUCGCAUGACAGUGGUUCAAUUUUAGUUUUUAGACAACUUGAAAACAUUAUAUAGAAGUCACCAAUAGCCUAUUUAUUGAGGGUAAGCUAUAAACCCAAUCAAGGGUCAGGAGACCUCCCUUGAUUUUCACGGAACCAGAGAUUUCGUGGGUUCAGGGACUUGGGUUACACUAAGGAUGUCUAUUAGCGCUCUUUCGAUGGGGUGGUUAAGGGUGUGUUAGGCAACUUGCUAAAUAGUAACAAUUUAUGUUCUUUUCUUCCAAGGAGUAGAUUUGGAACAGAAAUUCGUUUGGUAAAACUUUUAUUCCUGAGUAGGGGUGAGCGGGUCCAGGGUGGGUAGGGUCUAGACCUGGACCCUGUUCCCUACCCUAUUAUAAUUGGUUCUCCUUUUUUGAACCUUGUUCCCUACCCUGUUUGCAUUGGACCCUGUUCUCGACCUACCCUAAUUUUUCGGUCCGGGAACAGGGUUGACCCUAUUUAUAUUGAAACCUGUUUUGCAUAAAAAGUAACCUUAGAGAAGCAAGUCUAGAUGAGUUAUCUGCUGAAACAAAAAGGCUAGACUAAGCACAUCUUUCGACCAAACUCAUUGGCAACAUGUAUAAAAUUUGGACUCCCCUUGAAAAAAAAUAACCAAGUAUAUAAUUUGAUCAUCUCGCAUCCCCAUAUCCCACAAGAUACAUCGAGUUUCUCAUAUUCCAGUAAUAUACAAGCUAUCAAUUUAGCCAAUUAACUAAUUGUAGUACAAUUUUUGGUUGAUCACAUAUCAACCUUGUCCUUCAUGUGCUCGAUCUUCUUCUCCUUCUUCGGUCUUGCGUUCCACGUGGUACAAAAUCUCUGACAAAAACCUAAAAUUCAUAUAUAAAGAAAAAUCAACAAGAAUCCAUACUCUAGGAUUUAAUAAAGUCUAUUUACUUACCACAAAAUUGGAGUUUCGACAAAUGAAGUUUAUUUUCCAAUGAUAAUGUCCUUUGUAAGACAAUCCAAAUCUAUAAAAAAGAAAAAGGAAAAAAAAAGAGAGAUUAAAUAAGACAUGCGCUUAAUAGAUAGUUAUGCGAAUGAAUUACAAGAUACAAAGAAAUAUAUAUAACUUACCCGCCUCAAAUUGUUCCGCAUUCUCGAUGCAUUCUUUAACAUUAAUUGGCAUGCGAACAACUCUCAACCAAUCUUGAGUACAAAUAAAACCUUCCACCACUCUGGGAAUCAAAGAACUUCGAAAGCCAUCAAGUAUACGUCCCGAUGUACUAAAAGUCGACUUUGAAGCAUUGGUAGUCACGGGAAUAGACAAAACAUCUCGAGCCAUUAAAGAUAUGAUUUCAUACUUUGACCCAGUACUCUUCCACCACAUCAAAAGAUCAAUAUUAAGGAUAUCUUCACUUUCAGCUUCAAGAUACCGAUCAAGCUCAAAUUUGUUUUCAUCCAACACUUUUUUCUUCACAUGGAGAAAGCUUUUGUGCCAAGCAUCGAAUUCACAAUCAUUGUCGUCAAUAUCAACAUUAGAAGCACUACUACUAUCACUCACACUUGAAUCACCAAAUUUUCCUUUACUAGAAGAGCUAACAAAGAUCGCUCAUAAGAUUUAUACAAAUUCUCUAAGGUGACCUUCACUUUAUCAUGCAUCUCAUCAAUUUUUGCUUCAUCAUCAUAGAUUUGUUCAAAACAGAACUUUACAUAAUUCAACUUCUUUGUAGGAUCCAAUGCAACCGCAAUCAAUGCCAUCAUAUUAACUUUAUCCAAACUCCUAUAAUACUUGUCAAACUUCUUUUUCAUUUUUAAACCCAUAGCUUGAAGCUUUGGGUCUAAAGAAUUCGCCGCAUUAUUCAAAUACUUGUACAACUUAGCUAUCUCCUCAAAAUAAUGAUUUGAAGUAACAUAUGAACUGCCCGACAUCUUUUUGGUUGCAUCAUAAAACCGUCUCAGAAAUUUUAAAAGAAUGAUGACAUUUUCCCAAUCUUCAUCUUCAGGAGGAUCAUUGUCAAUUUCCCUUAAGAAAUAUAAAUCUUCUUCUUCCAUUCUUUUAAAAGCUUUCUUGAACUUUAUGGCGGUGUCUAGCAUCAUGUAAGUGGAGUUCCAUCUAGUGGCAACAUCAAGACAAACCGAACCAUUGUAUACAAUCCUCUCACUCUCAAUGCAACCUUUGAAUGUCUUAGCUCUAGCCGGAGAACUCCUCACAUACCUAACUAUGUUUCGAAUGCGUGCAAUAGAAUCACGCAUCUCAUUCAAUCCAUCUCUUAUUAUCAAGUUAAGUAUAUGAGUAGUGCAUCUCAUAUGUAAAGCAUCACCAUUCAAAAUCAAAAAUCAUUCUUCUGAAAAUUUUUCUUUCAAAUAACUAACGGCCACAUCAUUUGAACUUGCAUUAUCCACUGUUAUUGUGGACACCUUCCUUUCUAUUCUCCAAUCAUAAAUGCAUUUCCCCACAAAUUUACCAAUCUCCUUACCCUUGUGACUAUGCAUCAUCACAAAAUUGAUUAUUCUUUUUUGUAACUGCCAAUUUUCAUCAAUAUAAUGUGCAGUAAGACACAAAUAGUUCAAGUUUUGAAUGGAACUCCACAUAUCCGUUGUGAGUGUAAUCCUAGAUUUAAGCUUACCAAAGUAAACUUUCAAACAAGUCAUUUCACUAAGAUAUAACUUCAUACAAUAUCUUGCCAUUGUAAAUCGUGAAAGAUGAUGGAAAAGAGGUUGCAAUUCAGUAACAAAAUCCCAAAAACCAACACGCUCAACCAUGGAAAAUGGCUACUCAUCAAUAAUAAUCAUUUGAGCAAGCGUAUGCCUACAAAAGUUCUGGUGCUGUUUGCUCGAUUAUUUACUGCCUGGAACGCACAAUGUGUGAUAACCUGUCUGCUUACCUUUCAGAAAAUGGAAUAUCAUGUGCUGGUAAUUGUACUUUCUUUCAUAAGUCUGUACAGGAUUGUCAAGUGGCCAUUGAUAUCUAUCCUGUUUCUACUUCUCAGCUUACCACGCGGGGCAGAAUGACAAGCUGCGGAGUUCCAUCUUAGAUGAUUGGCUUUCUUCUAAGAUACAAGUUGUUGUGGCCACAGUGGCUUUUGGGUAAGAGAGCGCUUGAUAGCUUCAACUAUUCAAAUUUUUUAAUUUUAUGCUCAUUCAACAUGACCAUUUGUUUGCAAUGGAUGAAUUUUGUCAGGGAAGGUACUUGACUACUUUUCCUAUUUUUCAAUGUUUUCAUUCUUGAGAUGCUUUCUUGCUUCUCCUUGAUUUACAAUCUUCAAUCAAUCAGGAAUAUGAUGUAAUUAUUUAUUUUGGUUGUGUUGUUCCACUUGAGAGCUGUUCUGCUGCAUGCACAGUUACUCUGCUUCUGAUAUUUCUUCAGGAUGGUAAGAUAAUGCAAGGCUAUGCACUCAAAUUAACUCUAGUUUCAUCACCCUGCAUGACUGUUCAGCUGAUGCCUGUCUAUCGUUGAAUGUGGUCUAUACUUGCAGGGUAUUGACAGAAAGGAUGUGAGGAUUGUUUGCCACUUUAACAUUCCAAAAUCAAUGGAAGCAUUUUAUCAAGAAUCAGGUAGAGCCGGCCGCGAUCAAUUGCCCUCUACAAGUAUAUUGUAUUAUGGGAUCGAUGAUCGCAAGAGAAUGGUCAGGUCUCUGGCUUCUUGAUUUUGAUUUGUUAUAUGUGUCAAUGAAAUUUCUUGAUGAGCUCACACAUACUUUCAGGAAUUUAUUCUAAGCAAGGCUAAGGAUAAGAAGCCACAAAGCUCCAGUUCACAGGAUGGGUUGCUCAAAAAGUUACUAGCUGACUUCAAUCAGGUGAUCCAUAGCUUUUCUAUUGAUGUUGUAUAUGUACCUUGUCCAGGUAUAUGCUGAUUUUAGUUACCAAUUGGUGCGCAGAUGGUUGAAUAUUGUGAAGGAUCUGGGUGUCGGCGCAGAAAGAUUCUUGAGAGUUUUGGUGAACAGGUUUUGGUAACUUUUUGUGCUUCAUAAUGUAACUGGUGCUAAUGUGUUUUUAGAGCUUGCUAAAUUUUGAAUUGAAUCAUAAGUCGUGUCAAUGCAUAAUUUAGGUACCUGCAUCCCUCUGUAAAAACUCGUGCGAUACAUGCAAACAUCCAAACCAGGUUGCCAGGCAGUUGGAGGAGCUUACAACUACUUGUGUUUCUCGUCAGAGAAACCAGUUCUCCAGAAUCCUGAUGCACAGGUUUUGUUUUGUGCUUUUCGUUUUGUUUGAAGCUCCUCAGUAAUUUAGCUUGCAUCCAACCUUUUCAGUUUUAUGUUGCUAGAAGUGACAUUAUUCAUAAGGUUCAAUGCUAAUUCUUAUGCAUUUUCUAAUCGAUCAGCGGCGGUAGAUAUGAGUGGAUGAAGGACAGUAUUCUGAAUUUUGGGAAUCGUGAUGAUGAAAGCGAGUUGUUCGGAGGAAGACAUUUCUGACUCCGAUGGUAAUAUGUGCAUGGCAAUAUUUACCUGAUACCUAUCCAAUUAUGUUUGAAGAAAUAGUCGGUGUAAAUCUUUUCCAGGCUGAUCUGGCUGAUGUUGUCACGUUCUCUGAUGUGUGAAGAUUCUAAUGCAGAUGGCAUCGAUGUUAGGAAGAGCUCAACUAUCUCAAAAUUCAAAUCAGGAGUAAAAGACAAAAUUGAUUUCUGGGAGCAUGCUGAGGAAAACUACAACCAGAAGCAAGGCUUAGAUAGAAAGGUAGGCCAUGGUAUGUCUUUUCAUGUUCAAGGGGAUUUAGCUGUUAUCUGUUGUAAUAGUGACUUGUGAAUAAUGCCGUUCCUUUUUCUGCUGUUGACAAACCAAAAACUACGCAUCAGAUGAAAUGGGAAACAGAUGGGUCACUGUUGCAACUUUGUCCUCUAUUAUGAAAGAAGUUGAGCUUGUGGUCGGUUACUAAAAUACUAUGAUGACUUCUUGCAGAUGAAUAAAGUGGACAAGAAUGAAGUAUCGGAAGAGCUGAGAGAAACUAGCAAGCAAAGAUUGUUCAAAGCCUUGAGGCUGGCUCAGCAACGUCUUGGCUCUUUAAUGUAUAUUAAUCAUUUCUGAUUCUUGUCACAAUUAUUUCACCACCACUUCGUUUUUCUCAGUAUAUUUCACUGCUAGUUUAAGGUUGCAAAAAGAGCUUUGUCUGGUUGAAUCUUCAGUCUGAUGUGUAAUAUAAAAAUGUCUUAAGAAACACCCAAGCCGUAGAAAUGGAUUAAUGAAGUCUUUUCUCAUCAAACUUUAUUUGCAGGAAUGAAAUUGAAGAGUCGGCUUCUUCCCUUGAGAACGACUGCUACAAAAAAUAUGGAAAGAGCAGGAAGUCAUUUUAUCUUUCCCAAGUGGCAAACACUGUAAGGUGGCUCUCAACAACCAAUUCUACUGAUCUGACAAAUCGGCUCAGAAUCAGUGAUGACUCGCCUUCAGAGAAUAUGCCACCUAAACAAGAACCUUCAGGCUCAGCUCCAUCUUCAGUCAACCAGGUAAUAAUGGAGGCCAUAAAUGAAGAAGGUCCUAGUGUCAUCAGUUCUACGUGUGUUUCCUCGGUGCAAAGUUCUACUACUACUGCCGCAAGUCUGCCAGCAAUU
rnacentral:lncRNA from 1 species